AAAGGGUGUGUAGGCGGGUAUUUAAGUCAGUGGUGAAAUCCUGGAGCUCAACUCCAGAACUGCCAUUGAUACUAUCUAUCUUGAAUAUUGUGGAGGUAAGCGGAAUAUGUCAUGUAGCGGUGAAAUGCUUAGAUAUGACAUAGAACACCCAUUGCGAAGGCAGCUUACUACGCAUAUAUUGACGCUGAGGCACGAAAGCGUGGGGAUCAAACAGGAUUAGAUACCCGUGU
rnacentral:rRNA from 1 species